rnacentral:misc_RNA from 1 species
AACAAGGCGUACCUGCGGACCUGCGGAAGGAUCAUUAUCGAGUUUUGACUGGGUUGUAGCUGGCCUUUCCGAGGCAUCGUGCACGCCCUGCUCAUCCACUCUACACCUGUGCACUUACUGUGGGUUAUGGAUCGUGUGGAACGAGCUCGUUGACGAGUUUGUGAAGCACGUCUGUGCCUGCGUUUUACCACAAACACUACAAAGUAUUAGAAUGUGUAUUGCGAUGUAACGCGUCUAUAU